ACAGCUUUGCUCCCUUAACUCCUGGAUCUUUGUUUUGGUGGCGACCAGGGAGAGCAGGGAGCGCUGUGCUCGCAUUUCCCUCUGGCUUUUACACACGCACACACACGCACACACACAAAUCCCCUUUUCCAACUUUCUGCUUUUUGCGCUUCCCUUCCAGUUUUUUCACUUCUCAGACCUACUGGCAGCAUUUGCCGAGAUCUAGAUCCCCGUCGUGGGACCUUGGAGUUUCUGGCAGAUAUUCCUCAGGCUGGAAUCCAGACAGCUUGUCUGAGCACGGAGAAACUACUCGCCUUCAGUCCUCAAAAUAUUAGCAAAAGACACUGUAUUUGCUGCUCCUUGGAUAAAAGCAUCCCUAAUGAGUCAACAUUGCUAUUCAUCUCAUGUGACUGCAGCCAAUCUUGACUGCCAGGUGAGAUGCGAUGUUGAAACAGAGAAACCAUCUCAAGGAAAUACAAGCUCUCAAAGCGUGAAUGGCUCUGCGGAUCAGAGAAGGCAUUUUGAAUUACACCUGGAAAUGAAGCGGGGAGCAGCCGAGUCCCCAGAGCACGGGUGCAGGGAUGGGGAGGAGGAGCGGUGGCAGGGCCGGCGGUGCCACCCUCGCCGAUGAGGCUCUCGCAGGUCGGCUCUGCGCACAUCGGGGAUGAUUGGGAGCAGCUGCAAGCUGAGCCCAGUGCAGCGCUCCCAAUACAUUCCAGAUGAUGAAUAUGAUGCAGGCUUACUGGAAGAAAAAUAUAUUUCUGAAGAGAAAAACAAUUACUUCUCAAGGCAAGACAAUGAAGCUGAACCGACGCUACGUGGGCAUAAAAUAGAGCAGAACUUUUGGGCAAUGGCUUUAGCUUCUAAUAAAUCACCCACCUGGAGAUACUUUUGCAGAGUGAGCUUGGAUGUAUCAGACCUCAAGUAUUUUCAGAGGUAUAUAAAGUUGAAAAAUUAGUCAUUUAAACCUUUAUUUUUCCCCAAAGGGACGGACACUUUGUUGUGUCAUAGCCUCCCAUUUUCAUGUUAGCAGAAAGGUGCCCUUGCAAGUCCAAACAACACGUGGGCUGUCUCAUGGAAGUUAUGAAAAAAGGCUUGGAAACACCACUUGAUACAGUGGGUUUCACUGGCUGAAUCUUCAGAGGGGACUUGAACGAAAUUUGCAAAAACAUGUCAAAAGUUAAGUGGCGAAAAUCAGCUUAAAUGCCUAAUUUUAAUUUUGUUUGUGCUCUUUGUUGUUUCAUUGUGGAGGGAGGGAAGAAGCUGUCUUUUUUUCUCCCCGUCCUUUCAUUUUGUUUGGGAGAAAAUGGAUGUUGGUGAAAAGAAGAGAGCUCUGGCAGGGACUGGAAAGUGGUUGUUUAUUCUGUUUUGUUUUCUUUAGAAAGGGGCAACUCUUCUAAAACUGGUGAUGAUCCAGUUAAAGGGGGACUCCGGGUGGGGAAGAGAAAAGAAAACUAAUAAUCAGCUUCUAAAUGACAAGUUUUCUCUUGAACAAAAGAGCAACAGGAGGCAGUGCAGGCAGGGGGUCAGUGCCCAGGGGUAACGUGACCAAAACAAUGGCUGGAGAAUGUGUGCAGCUUUUGCCACUCCAGAAGCUGCUGCCCCAGUGCCCUCACUGAGGGCCUGCAAGGGUCAAACCUGAUCCAGUGCUGGGCAAGUGUGGUGCCACUUCUGGAGUCCUCCAAAGAGGAGGCAAUGACUGACUGUGGGUAAUGCAAGCAGGAAUUGAAGAAUUCCCAGGGAAUCCCCCCAGUUCUGAAUGACAGUGUGACUGAACAGCCCCAGCCAAUAAGGCAGGGUCCCUACCAGCAGUGGGGCUAAAGGCGGGGUUUAAAGUGACUUCUGUUAAAGAUGGAGACUGCUUGGCAUCAUCUGUGCUUCCCUUGCACUUGGUUAAUUGCCUGUUGGGGAAAGGCAGUGGUGCUGGAUAAACUGAAGCGAGAUGAUUUCAAACUAUUAUGAGCGUUCACGCAGAAGUUCAUUCUGGUUUAGACUAAAUUGGUUUUAAUUUCAAUUCAUGUAACUUCCGUGUGGACGAGGCCUAUGACUUGCCAUUUUGCAGCAAUGGUGAAUUUAUAGCAUAUGUGCUGCAAAUGGUCUAUCAUGCAAAUUCUCCUGGUAUUUGCUCCAAGUCCAGUUCCAGCUGUCGGUGGAGAUGGAGGAGCAGAAUAGACCACUCACACAGCCUCCCAUGUAAUGCAGAUUGGAUCCAUUGUCAGUCAGAUGGACUGGUGGUGUGGGAGCAGUGUGAAGCCAGUUCUUUCACUACAUGGUGUGUAAAGCAAUGAGGCAGACAAAAGCUGGAUUUAAAUUAGGGAAUAUUUCUGCCAAAUUUCGUUCUCUGAAGCAGAAAAAUAAAACACUUAAUGUGUCUGGCAAUGUUUAUUCUGUGCACAGGGUUUUAGCUGAUCAUAAAAGAAGAGCUACGUGUGAACAUUAUCUGGCAGCUUCAUCAUAUUCUGAGGAGAUGAGAGAGUAUGAGUCCACCAUGGUCUGAGAAAGUAUCGACUGAGAAAGUGGAAACAAUUUGGCAGGAAAACAAGAUGGCAAGAGAAAAAGAAAAAAAAAUAGGUUCUUUUCGAUUAGGUAGGAAUUACCAGUUAUAAUGACAGCAAAAUUGUAUCUGCCACAAAAGCUCCAUUUUGAAAGUCCUUGAUGUCCUCAGUGUCCUGCUCAAUGGCCAGAGGCUUCCUACUUUGCCUUCUUGCUGCUUAUUCAAAGAAAGGCAACAUCUGAAUGGUCGGAAAAUAUAUGUGCUGCUCAUGCAGUAACUGCACGUGCAUGAAAAUAAAAGAAUUCCUUGCCUUUGCGCCAUGGGUAUCUGUGCUGAUAAGGAGGCAGUAACCCUCAUUACAUGCAUAUUUGAAGACUUGGCCCUGAAUUCUACUGGUGAACUAUUUUCCAUGAGUUUUCCACUGUAUCUUCUUAGAGGUUUGUGCUCCAAUCAUCCAAUACCUUGACAGAAAUAGAAGACUGUGUUAAAAAUAAUCCAAAGAAAUAAUACAAGACCACUUUUAAUUCAAAAUUUUUGAAAGAACAAGUAUCAGCUAAUGUGAAUGAAAACAUAGUUGUGUAAUCCAAGUAAGAAGAAUGUCAAGAAUAACAACUUUGUAACUGGGUUUGGAAAAACAAACAAUUCUUUCCUUUCUUUGCAUAAUAAAUAUGA